rnacentral:snRNA from 1 species
GUGCUCGCUUCAGCAGCACAUAACUAAAUGGAAACCAUCACCAGAGAUUCAGCACGGCCGUGCGCAAGGAUGACACGCAAGUUCAUGAUGCAUUCCCUAUUCUC